GGGCAUUUGGCACAGUGGUAGCGCGCACGCUUCGCAUUUGCUUCAGUGCCUGCGUGAGGUCCAGGGUUCGACUCCCUGAAUGUCCA